rnacentral:rRNA from 1 species
UACGUAGGGGGCUAGCGUUGUCCGGAAUCAUUGGGCGUAAAGAGCGCGUAGGCGGCCCAGUAAGUCCGCUCUGAAAGUCAGGGGGCUCAACCCCUGGAUGCGGGUGGAUACUGCUGGGCUAGAGUCCGGAAGAGGUGAGUGGAAUUCCUAGUGUAGAGGUGAAAUUCGUAGAUAUUAGGAAGAAACACCGGUGGCGAAGGCGGCAUCCUGGACCGGCAUUGACGCUGAGGCGCGAAAGCCAGGGGAGCAAACGGG